rnacentral:rRNA from 1 species
ACGAACGCUGGCGGCACGCUUAACACAUGCAAGUCGAACGAGAGAAGAGAAGCUUGCUUUUCUGAUCUAGUGGCGGACGGGUGAGUAACACGUGAGCAAUCUGCCUUUCAGAGGGGGAUACCGAUUGGAAACGAUCGUUAAUACCGCAUAAUAUAAUUGAACCGCAUGAUUUGAUUAUCAAAGAUUUAUCGCUGAAAGAUGAGCUCGCGUCUGAUUAGCUAGUUGGUAAGGUAACGGCUUACCAAGGCGACGAUCAGUAGCCGGACUGAGAGGUUGAUCGGCCACAUUGGGACUGAGACACGGCCCAGACUCCUACGGGAGGCAGCAGUGGGGAAUAUUGCACAAUGGAGGAAACUCUGAUGCAGCGAUGCCGCGUGAGGGAAGAAGGUUUUAGGAUUGUAAACCUCUGUCUUCAGGGACGAAAAAUGACGGUACCUGAGGAGGAAGCUCCGGCUAACUACGUGCCAGCAGCCGCGGUAAUACGUAGGGAGCGAGCGUUGUCCGGAAUUACUGGGUGUAAAGGGAGCGUAGGCGGGAUCGCAAGUCAGAUGUGAAAACUAUGGGCUUAACCCAUAAACUGCAUUUGAAACUGUGGUUCUUGAGUGAAGUAGAGGUAAGCGGAAUUCCUAGUGUAGCGGUGAAAUGCGUAGAUAUUAGGAGGAACAUCAGUGGCGAAGGCGGCUUACUGGGCUUUAACUGACGCUGAGGCUCGAAAGCGUGGGGAGCAAACAGGAUUAGAUACCCUGGUAGUCCACGCCGUAAACGAUGAUUACUAGGUGUGGGGGGACUGACCCCUUCCGUGCCGCAGCAAACGCAAUAAGUAAUCCACCUGGGAGUACGACCGCAAGGUUGAAACUCAAAGGAAUUGACGGGGGCCCGCACAAGCAGUGGAGUAUGUGGAUUAAUUCGAAGCAACGCGAAGAACCUUACCAGGUCUUGACAUCGUAUGCAUAGCUCAGAGAUGAGUGAAAUCUCUUCGGAGACAUAUAGACAGGUGGUGCAUGGUUGUCGUCAGCUCGUGUCGUGAGAUGUUGGGUUAAGUCCCGCAACGAGCGCAACCCUUACUGUUAGUUGCUACGCAAGAGCACUCUAGCAGGACUGCCGUUGACAAAACGGAGGAAGGUGGGGAUGACGUCAAAUCAUCAUGCCCCUUAUGACCUGGGCCUCACACGUACUACAAUGGCUGUCAACAGAGGGAAGCAAAGCCGCGAGGUGGAGCAAACCCCUAAAAGCAGUCUUAGUUCGGAUUGUAGGCUGCAACCCGCCUACAUGAAGUCGGAAUUGCUAGUAAUCGCAGAUCAGCAUGCUGCGGUGAAUACGUUCCCGGGCCUUGUACACACCGCCCGUCACGCCAUGGGAGUCGGUAACACCCGAAGCCUGUAGUCUAACCGCAAGGAGGACGCAGUCGAAGGUGGGAUUGAUGACUGGGGUG